rnacentral:rRNA from 1 species
UACGUAGGGGGCAAGCGUUGUCCGGAAUCAUUGGGCGUAAAGAGCGUGUAGGCGGUUCGGUAAGUCGGCUGUGAAAGUCCAGGGCUCAACCCUGGGAUGCCGGUCGAUACUGCCGGACUAGAGUUCGGAAGAGGCGAGUGGAACUCCCGGUGUAGCGGUGAAAUGCGCAGAUAUCGGGGAGGAACACCUAUGGCGAAGGCAGCUCGCUGGGACGUUACUGACGCUGAGACGCGAAAGCGUGGGGGAGCAAACAGG